AGUGAACGCUGGCGGCAGGCCUAACACAUGCAAGUCGAGCGGCAGCGCGGGGGCAACCCUGGCGGCGAGCGGCGGACGGGUGAGGAAUGCAUCGGAAUCUACCUCGUUGUGGGGGAUAACGUAGGGAAACUUACGCUAAUACCGCAUACGACCUACGGGUGAAAGUGGGGGACCUUCGGGCCUCACGCGAUGAGAUGAGCCGAUGCCGGAUUAGCUAGUUGGCGGGGUAAAGGCCCACCAAGGCGACGAUCCGUAGCUGGUCUGAGAGGAUGAUCAGCCACACUGGAACUGAGACACGGUCCAGACUCCUACGGGAGGCAGCAGUGGGGAAUAUUGGACAAUGGGCGCAAGCCUGAUCCAGCCAUGCCGCGUGUGUGAAGAAGGCCUCGGUUGUAAG
rnacentral:rRNA from 1 species